CUCAGCAGUUGGGGAGGAGCACCAGCGCCGCAGCCCGGUCAGCAAUGGGAUGGAUAUACGUGCCCCGUCAACAGCAGCGUCAACGACGCCGCAAGAACCGUGCCUUAGCCAUCGGCGAGGCGGAAGGAAGAGGAGCGUUUCACACAGGAACGGAGGAUACGUGGAGUGAGUGUAAUAUGUCACAAGAAGACUACGCAGAAUACGCCGAAAAUUGGGACCGUAAAAUGAGGAUGGUUGGUUUUAUAGG